rnacentral:misc_RNA from 1 species
GUUCCUCCAUACUGAUGCAAUCUAAGCUCUUCGCUUUGAGUUAAUAUGCAUGCAUUGUGGAAUGAACUGCAUGAAAAUGUGUUUUUACCAUUUUGAGCUUUAACACUGAAUAAUUUUGGCUGCCACUUUCAAAGAGAAAUAGCCAUUAAGAAAACUGGAAAUCACUUGCAUGGAACACGUUGGUUGCUUUGCUUGUGGAACAAGAGACCAGACCACUGUUUAAAUUUAGCUGAGAUGAAUGUCAUUCACUGCCCUUUACUGAAAUCUGGUGGAACCAUUGCCAAGUAUAGUUUCUACUUCCUGCAAAAUGACAAGACGUAUGCAACUUUAUGGCCUUUCCAACAAUUGUGAUUUUACCAACUAUAGUCACCAAGCAG